UACAGAGGGUGCGAGCGUUGUUCGGAAUUAUUAGGCGUAAAGGGCGCGUAGGCGGUGCGGUAAGUCACCUGUGAAAUCUCCUGGCUCAACUGGGAGCCUGCAGGCGAAACUGCCGUGCUGGAGUGUGGGAGAGGUGCGUGGAAUUCCCGGUGUAGCGGUGAAAUGCGUAGAUAUCAGGAGGAACACCAGCGGCGAAGGCGGCGCUCUGGGCCGGAACUGACGCUGAGGAGCGAAAGCGUGGGUAGCAAACAGG
rnacentral:rRNA from 1 species